rnacentral:rRNA from 1 species
AUUGAACGCUGGCGGCAUGCCUUACACAUGCAAGUCGAACGGCAGCACGGGAGCAAUCCUGGUGGCGAGUGGCGAACGGGUGAGUAAUAUAUCGGAACGUGCCCAGUCGUGGGGAUAACGUAGCGAAAGCUACGCUAAUACCGCAUACGAUCUAUGGAUGAAAGCGGGGGAUCGCAAGACCUCGCGCGAUUGGAGCGGCCGAUAUCAGAUUAGGUAGUUGGUGAGGUAAAGGCUCACCAAGCCGACGAUCUGUAGCUGGUCUGAGAGGACGACCAGCCACACUGGGACUGAGACACGGCCCAGACUCCUACGGGAGGCAGCAGUGGGGAAUUUUGGACAAUGGGCGAAAGCCUGAUCCAGCCAUACCGCGUGCGGGAAGAAGGCC